GACAGAGGGUGCAACCGUUGCUCGGAAUCACUGGGCGUAAAGGGCGUGUAGGCGGGCAGGUAAGUCAGAUGUGAAAUCCCUGGGCUCAACCCAGGAACUGCAUUUGAAACUCCCUUUCUUGAGUGUCGGAGAGGAAAGUGGAAUUCCUGGUGUAGAGGUGAAAUUCGUAGAUAUCAGGAGGAACACCGGUGGCGAAGGCGGCUUUCUGGACGACAACUGACGCUGAGACGCGAAAGCGUGGGGAGCAAACAGG
rnacentral:rRNA from 1 species